AUUGAACGCUGGCGGCAGGCCUAACACAUGCAAGUCGAACGAGUGGCGGACGGGUGAGUAAUGUCUGGGAAACUGCCUGAUGGAGGGGGAUAACUACUGGAAACGGUAGCUAAUACCGCAUACCAUCGGAUGUGCCCAGAUGGGAUUAGCUAGUAGGUGGGGUAAAGGAUUACCUAGGCGACGAACCCUAGCUGGUCUGAGAGGAUGAUCAGCCACAUUGGAACGGAGACACGGUCAAUAUUCCUACGGCAGGCAGCAGGGGGAAAUAUUGCACAAUGGGCGCAAGCCUGAUGCAGCCAUGCCGCGUGUAUGAAGAAGGCCUUCGGGUGGUAAAGUACAUUCAGCGGGGAGGCGUUACCCGCAGAAGAAGCACCGGCUAACUCCGUGCCAGCAGCCGCGGAAAUUC
rnacentral:rRNA from 1 species